AUUGAACGCUAGCGGGAUGCUUUACACAUGCAAGUCGAACGAGUGGCGGACGGGUGAGUAAUAUAUCGGAACGUGCCCAGGAGCGGGGGAUAACUACUCGAAAGAGUGGCUAAUACCGCAUACUCUUGGAGAGGCCGAUAUCGGUUUAGAUAGUUGGUGGGGUAAAGGCUCACCAAGGACACGAUCCGGAGCUGGUAUGAGAGGAGGACCAGCCACACUGGGACGGAGACACGGCCCAGACUCCUACGGGAGGCAGCAGUGGGGAAUUGUGGACAAUGGGGGAAACCCUGAUCCAGCCAUCCCGCGUGUAUGAGAAGGCCUUCGGGUUGUAAAGUACUUUUGGCGGGGAAGCGGUAUCUGCAGAAUAAGCACCGGCUAACUACGUGCCAGCAGCCGCGGUAAUUC
rnacentral:rRNA from 1 species